AACGAACGCUGGCGGCAUGCCUAACACAUGCAAGUCGAACGAAGUCUUCGGACUUAGUGGCGCACGGGUGCGUAACGCGUGGGAAUCUGCCCUUGGGUACGGAAUAACUCAGAGAAAUUUGUGCUAAUACCGUAUAAUGUCUUCGGACCAAAGAUUUAUCGCCCAAGGAUGAGCCCGCGUAGGAUUAGCUAGUUGGUGAGGUAAAAGCUCACCAAGGCGACGAUCCUUAGCUGGUCUGAGAGGAUGAUCAGCCACACUGGGACUGAGACACGGCCCAGACUCCUACGGGAGGCAGCAGUGGGGAAUAUUGGACAAUGGGCGAAAGCCUGAUCCAGCAAUGCCGCGUGAGUGAUGAAGGCCUUAGGGUUGUAAAGCUCUUUUACCCGGGAUGAUAAUGACAGUACCGGGAGAAUAAGCUCCGGCUAACUCCGUGCCAGCAGCCGCGGUAAUACGGAGGGAGCUAGCGUUGUUCGGAAUUACUGGGCGUAAAGCGCGCGUAGGCGGUUUUUUAAGUCAGAGGUGAAAGCCCAGUGCUCAACACUGGAACUGCCUUUGAAACUGGAAAACUUGAAUCUUGGAGAGGUCAGUGGAAUUCCGAGUGUAGAGGUGAAAUUCGUAGAUAUUCGGAAGAACACCAGUGGCGAAGGCGACUGACUGGACAA
rnacentral:rRNA from 1 species